rnacentral:lncRNA from 1 species
CUUUCAGAACCUAUGCUCUACAACUGAGAAUCCGCUAGCCACCACAACACCGAAAGAGAUGGCUUUUCUCGUACCAACAUAGAUGAUAACAACGGAGGCCGAGUAGGCAAAACUUGAGUUCUUCGUUACUCCUGCGUCAAUCCUACAGUGGUGGUUCAACUGAGUUGAUCAAUUCUUCGAGUAUCAAGACACUCCAAAAGCACAAAAAGUAUCCUCGGCAUCAUUCCACCUCGAAGAUGAAGCCAACCAAUAGUGGCAAUGGCUAUACCGAGCAUAUAAAAAGGAUGAGCGAUUGGUGGCAUGGGCAAGCUGUGGGCUCCAUUUGGACACACCAAAUGGGAAGACAUUUACGAGGCACUAUCACAGGGUUAAGCAGGUGAAUUCCUUGCGAGACUACCAGGAGUAUGGGAGGUUGGGCAAACAAGUGCAUGGGUGGAAGCAGAAGGCAUUAGUAGGCACAUUUAUGGGAGAUCUCUAGGCCGAAAUAGCAGAGGGCAUAUGGAUGUUCAAGCCAAAGUCGUUGAAGGAAGCCAUUAGAUAACCAACUUCUUUGUCAGCAGAGAUUCCACAAUUCAUUCGGCCACAUCUGCUGGACAUUUCUAUUCCUGCAAAGUCUAGCUUAACAUCUCCAAUAAAGCGCUUGACAUGGGAGGAAAUGCAGAAGAGUCAAGCUCCAAGUCUUUGUUUUAAUUGCAAUGACAACUUCACUGUAGGCCAUAAAUGUCGAAGCCCACAAGUUUUGCUACCAAAAGGAAGCCACAUUGGUAUCAAGUUUGAAGAGGUUCUUGAUGACGCGGUAGAAAAACCCAUAACUAAUCUCCAGCCUGAACCAGAGAUAUCACUGCAUAUUUUAACUGAUGGUCAACCUCCAGAAUCAUGAGAGUCGUGGCCACAGUCGGACAUUAUGAGGUGGUUGUCCUCAUUGACCCACAACUUCAUUAACGAGAAUGUAGCUAAUUUGUGAGAGUAGGAAUCCAAGGGAGGUUCGAGCAUCGAGCAUGUGCAUGUCUUUACUUCAGGGUAUCCCUUUCUCUCUUACUCUCUACUCUUUAUAGAUCUUCUGGUCUAUAUACAAUUGGAAA